UCUGGCUCAGGAUGAACGCUGGCGGCGUGCCUAACACAUGCAAGUCGAACGGAGUUACUGAAGGCAAAGCUCGGCAGAGCCAUUGGUAAACUUAGUGGCGGACGGGUGAGUAACGCGUGGGCAACCUGCCUCAUACUGGGGGAUAACAGUUGGAAACGACUGUUAAUACCGCAUAAGCGCACAGUGUCGCAUGACACAGUGUGAAAAACUCCGGUGGUAUGAGAUGGGCCCGCGUCAGAUUAGCCAGUUGGCGGGUAACGGCCCACCAAAGCGACGAUCUGUAGCCGGACUGAGAGGUCGGACGGCCACAUUGGGACUGAGACACGGCCCAAACUCCUACGGGAGGCAGCAGUGGGGGAUAUUGCACAAUGGAGGAAACUCUGAUGCAGCGACGCCCGCGUGAGUGAAGAAGUAUUUCGGUAUGUAAAGCUCUAUCAGCAGGGAAGAAAGACCCGCAAGGGGGAUGACGGUACCUGACUAAGAAGCCCCGGCUAACUACGUGCCAGCCGCUGC
rnacentral:rRNA from 1 species